CCAAUUAGAACACGAACAGAGGAACCCGGCAGCCAAUGGACGGCGCCUCCCGGGGCGGGAGCAGAGAGACAAGGAAAUGCUGUCACCGCGGUUAACACGCACGUGGAGGUUUGUUAAAGGCCAUUAGCCAUGCCAGGCAGAAUACAUCUUCCUGCUCCCCUUCUAACUCAGGCAUCCCAUAGGAGGCAGAGAUGAUCAGGAGAACCCGAUUUUAAGCCCUGCCUCCAUCAGUCUCAAGACCCAGGACCUUGGGGAAGAGAGGGAGGCACCUGAAGGCUGCAGCACCUGAGCAGUAUUGCCUCAGGUCUUCACCAUCAAGGUAGGUCUGAUAAGGGAGGCUCACACAUGCUAUAACAAAUUACACUGAUUCAUAGAAAGCCACUUGGCAGUGUGCAAUAUACCAGAAGGGAGGAGGCACUUGAGGGCAGGCCUCAGAUUCCCUCCCCGGGGUGCUUCUCCCCUGCACAACUCCCUACUGUCAUCUCUCACCCUGAUGCCCUGCUUCUCUCUACAGACAGCUGGAUUAUAAAUUCCUCCGUGGCAGGAGCUGGUUUUUUAUAUUCAAAAAGAAAUCCUUAUACAAUUUUAAGUGUAGCCCCUGCCACACAUAACACACAGUGAGCCAGGGUGGAAUAAGGGAAAAAAAAAUGUGGGUCUGAAAUCUGAGUUGAAUCCUGGCUCUUUGGGUUGAAUCCAGUUAUUUCUGCCCUAUUAGAUCUGGAUAUUAAUAAUUUCCCUGAGUUUCAGGUUCUCCACCUGCAACAUGGGCCUAAUCUCUGGCUUUUACUAAAUUUACACAAAGUAUAAAUGCUGCCCUGCAGAGCCACAUAAAUUUGAAUAUUACAGCCCCCUAAUAAAUGUCAAAAGUAAGUUCCUGUUUAGGUCAGCAUCACAGAUGGAUCUAUCCUAAAUGUUCCUGCUAUAAAGCUAGGGAGGGGUGCCUCUUCUGAACUUUUGUCAUUAACAAUGAUUAGCAUUUUUCUCAUUAGUUUUCUUACUUUUUAUCAAAUUCUAUGGUUCUGACUAGAAUUUUUUCAUUCUUACUAUCAUUCUGAGUACAUAGUUCUAGAAUAAAAAAAAUAAAAUUUUUGCAGCAUGUGGGAUCUUAGUUCCCCUACCAGGCGUUAGACCUGUGCCCCCCUGCAACGGAAACAGAGUCCUAACCACUGGAUUGCCGGGGGAAGUCCCUGAACUUUACCUAUCUGCCACCUACUCAUCCCCCUACCAAAAGACUCCCCUAAAGGAAGUUUUCAAAAUAUAGGUAUAUAUGCAUGUUGUACCUGAUUUCUAAAGACAAGCAGUAUGUGGCCCUACGAUCUGGCAGAAAUGGGCCCUUACUACCCAUCCCAAACGAUCCUGACUCCCAACUCUGAGGUCAGAUGGGAAGAUGCAUCAGCAUCACCUAGGCAGGCGAGCCAAGUGGAACGGAGCAUCAGCCGUUUCAAGCCGAGGAGAGGGGAGUG